AGUGUGAGUCUCGCGGGCGAAGAGAGCGGACGUACGACUUUGUGCUCCCAUCCCGGCGGCGUGGCGAGCAUAAGGCGUUUCCGGCGUCGCAGAUUUUUCCUUAACCUCUUCAGCAGAGACUUGAGACGUUUACGUUAAAGUCUUAGAGUUGAAAAAAAAGAAAGGAAGAGUUUAGUGACACGACCAGAAAAAUAUAUAAGAAAAGGAGAAAAAAAAUACCGACAGACGAAGGAAGAAUUGAUAAGGAGGGGAAAAGAAGGAAGAGGAAAAAGGUGAAAAUAAUAAUGGUCGAGGCGCCACGUGCCGCCGCGAGGAGGAAGACAGAGCGCGUGCAUUAACGCCUGCCCCCUCUCCCCCCCUCCCCAUCCCCCCCCCGGGCGUGAGAGGGUCAUGGAGGGCUGGUGACCUUAAGGGAGACUGACCCAGGUGGAGGAGCUGGACACCCCCCCCCCUGUCUCUUUUUUCCCCCCCUCUUUCCCUUUUUUCCCAAAUUUUUGGAAACACUAAAAUUUUCCACCACUUUUUUUUGUCUAUUUCUGUUUUUUUUUUCUCUCUCUCUUCCUUUCUCUCCCUCUAUCUGUUUUCUUUCUUCCCAAGUCCCGAAAGAGAGAAAGGAAUUAAUUUUGUUCUGGAAAUUGUCGAGAUAAAUUGGCGAUUGUGGAAGAGAGGA